UGAAAACAUCCAGAAUGGAAGAGCAGAGAAGCUUCAAGCCGAAAGCGCUGGGUGAUGCUUUGGGAUACCAUCUUCAUGCGUUUCUCCAAGGACGCUGAAGACGCCGAUGGCUUGGAGCCCCUUUUGAGUGAGCGUGGCCUCUCAGUGCCCCUUGAGGAGCUGCCAGAGCUGGAGGUAGAUGCUGAGGUUGAAGAAGGUAACGCUGAGGAAGGGUGUGAAGAACUCGAGGGUGGAGGCCGUGAUGAGAAAGUACCAGUUGUAGAAGAACUCAGCAUAGCAGUGGCCCUCGGGGAUGGAGCUGCCACCAGACAGCCCGUCUUGUGUCCCCCUGCUGGGCCCGGUAGGAGACCUGCAGUGGUUUGUACAGAUCAACAACAGGUCAGCAGCAUUGGACUGGAGGAUCAGAGAAGCCUCAGCUUCCAUGUCUGCUCUGGG
ensembl:antisense Gm17180 predicted gene 17180